GAUGAACGCUGGCGGCGUGCCUAAUACAUGCAAGUCGAGCGAACGGACGAGAAGCUUGCUUCUCUGAUGUUAGCGGCGGACGGGUGAGUAACACGUGGAUAACCUACCUAUAAGACUGGGAUAACUUCGGGAAACCGGAGCUAAUACCGGAUGAUAUUUUGAACCGCAUGGUUCAAAAGUGAAAGACGGUCUUGCUGUCACUUAUAGAUGGAUCCGCGCUGCAUUAGCUAGUUGGUAAGGUAACGGCUUACCAAGGCAACGAUGCAUAGCCGACCUGAGAGGGUGAUCGGCCACAUUGGAACGGAGCCACGGUCCAGACUCCUACGGGAGGCAGCAGUAGGGAAUCUGCCGCAAUGGGCGAAAGCCUGACGGAGCAACGCCGCGUGAGUGAUGAAGGUCUUCGGAUCGUAAAACUCUGUUAUUAGGGAAGAACAUAUGUGUAAGUAACUGUGCACAUCUUGACGGUACCUAAUCAGAAAGCCACGGCUAACUACGUG
rnacentral:rRNA from 1 species